CGCGGAGACUAUUGAGAAGCGUUGCCGGAGACUGUGGCAAUCGCGUCGUUCAAACAGGAAGAAGUGAGUCCUCGGCACAACUGCACGCCGACGACGCCAAGGAGCGUCACUUCGCGCUGUCUACGCGUGUAUAACGGACUGUGCGAAUCUUCGUUUCGAUGUUUUCGUAGUGGUUGACACUUCAAGCGUGUGCAGCGCCACACCGCACAGUGAGUGCCCGCGGACGCCCGACACACUUCCUUCCAAGAUGGGGAACAGCUCUUCUACUCCAUCUCGACAAGCUACGACUCCUCCACAACGUCCGAAUGCCGGAGAGCGAAACGAUGGCGCUGGCUCGCAAACGACUGAGCGAGUUUCCAUCACCGGGAAUGUCGCAAGGC